GGGAUUUUUUUUACGUCACAAUAAAGGCUUCUGGUCUGUUAGUCUGCUGGUGGUUAAUUCUUUUAUCUAUUUCCUAUGUCUAAAAUCAGGUUAAGGUUCUGUUUAAUAAGAUGGUUUACCAUGAAGCUUUAUAUGUUAUACAAUUAAAGCUAAGAACACUUGUUCAUUGGUGUGAACUUUUAAAACAUACACCAAAUAAGGGUUUUAUCUAUAUUUUGUAGUUCACUGUCCAUAAUAGUGUGAUUGUGAGAGUCUGUCCUGUGGACACAUAUUAAUGUCAGAUUUUUUAUAGC
rnacentral:lncRNA from 1 species